rnacentral:rRNA from 1 species
CAGCAGCCGCGGUAAUACGUAGGUCCCGAGCGUUGUCCGGAUUUAUUGGGCGUAAAGGGAGCGCAGGCGGUUUAGUAAGUCUGAAGUUAAAGGCAUUGGCUCAACCAAUGUAUGCUUUGGAAACUGUUAGACUUGAGUGCAGAAGGGGAGAGAGGAAUUCCAUGUGUAGCGGUGAAAUGCGUAGAUAUAUGGAGGAACACCGGUGGCGAAAGCGGCUCUCUGGUCUGUCACUGACGCUGAGGCUCGAAAGCGUGGGUAGCGAACAGGAUUAGAGACCCCUGUAGUCCCUGUCUCUUAUACA